rnacentral:rRNA from 1 species
CCUACGGGUGGCUGCAGUGGGGAAUAUUGGACAAUGGGGGCAACCCUGAUCCAGCCAUGCCGCGUGUGUGAAGAAGGCCCUCGGGUUGUAAAGCACUUUCAGUGAGGAAGAACGCCUGGUGGUUAAUACCCAUCAGGAAAGACAUCACUCACAGAAGAAGCACCGGCUAACUCCGUGCCAGCAGCCGCGGUAAUACGGAGGGUGCGAGCGUUAAUCGGAAUUACGGGGCGUAAAGCGCGCGUAGGUGGCUUGAUAAGCCGGUUGUGAAAGCCCCGGGCUCAACCUGGGAACGGCAUCCGGAACUGUCAAGCUAGAGUGCAGGAGAGGAAGGUAGAAUUCCCGGUGUAGCGGUGAAAUGCGUAGAGAUCGGGAGGAAUACCAGUGGCGAAGGCGGCCUUCUGGACUGACACUGACACUGAGGUGCGAAAGCGUGGGUAGCAAACAGGAUUAGAUACCCUGGUAGUC